rnacentral:rRNA from 1 species
GAUGAACGCUGACAGAAUGCUUAACACAUGCAAGUCUUUGGCGAAGCUGUGCUUGCACAGCCUAGCCAAGGCGGACGGGUGAGUAACGCGUCAGGAACUUGCCCUGCAGUCAGGGAUAACAGACGGAAACGACUGAUAAGACCUGGUAAAGUCAGCCGGACUCAUGUCCAGCCUGAUGAAAAGAGAUGCUGCAGGAGAGCCUUGCGUCCUAUUAGCUUGUUGGUGGGGUAACGGCCCACCAAGGCGAUGAUAGGUAGCCGGCCUGAGAGGGUGGACGGCCACAAGGGGACUGAGAUACGGCCCUUACUCCUACGGGAGGCAGCAGUGGGGAAUAUUGGACAAUGGGGGCAACCCUGAUCCAGCAAUUCUGUGUGCACGAUGAAGGUUUUCGGAUUGUAAAGUGCUUUCAGCAGGGAAGAAAAAAAUGACGGUACCUGCAGAAGAAGCGACGGCUAAAUACGUG